AGCUAUCAAGGGGGUAUUUAACAAAAAGAAUCUCUAUCCAUGGAUACUAAUAUGAGGUGUUCCUUAAAAGACAAUUCAAAAACAACUUGAACCUCUCAUGAUAAUCAAACAUGGUGGCAGGGAAGGGCAGGUAAGGGCAGGUAUCUAUCUACAAGAAAGGGCAAACCCGGAGGAAAAAAGCAAAGAAAUUGUACACGAACCGAAAUUGAAAAACGAAAUCGCAUGGCCUUCGGACGCGCGAGUUAACGGGAAAUGGAAAAAUAGGCCAACCGGCUUUCAAACUCCAACCAGGGACCAAAAAAUAAAAAAACCAGACACAUAUUUCUAUCAAAUCAGAAGCUCCCCUGCUCAAACUACGAGCCUGCGUUCAAGUCCGGGGAAAGAAGAAGGAAAUGAAAAAGGGAAA
rnacentral:sRNA from 1 species